rnacentral:rRNA from 1 species
UUAAGCGACUAAGCGUACACGGUGGAUGCCCUGGCAGUCAGAGGCGAUGAAGGACGUGCUAAUCUGCGAUAAGCGUCGGUAAGGUGAUAUGAACCGUUAUAACCGGCGAUUUCCGAAUGGGGAAACCCAGUGUGUUUCGACACACUAUCAUUAACUGAAUCCAUAGGUUAAUGAGGCGAACCGGGGGAACUGAAACAUCUAAGUACCCCGAGGAAAAGAAAUCAACCGAGAUUCCCCCAGUAGCGGCGAGCGAACGGGGAGCAGCCCAGAGCCUGAAUCAGUGUGUGUGUUAGUGGAAGCGUCUGGAAAGGCGCGCGAUACAGGGUGACAGCCCCGUACACAAAAAUGCACAUGCUGUGAGCUCGAUGAGUAGGGCGGGACACGUGGUAUCCUGUCUGAAUAUGGGGGGACCAUCCUCCAAGGCUAAAUACUCCUGACUGACCGAUAGUGAACCAGUACCGUGAGGGAAAGGCGAAAAGAACCCCGGCGAGGGAGUGAAAAAGAACCUGAAACCGUGUACGUACAAGCAGUGGGAGCACGCUUAGGCGUGUGACUGCGUACCUUUUGUAUAAUGGGUCAGCGACUUAUAUUCUGUAGCAAGGUUAACCGAAUAGGGGAGCCGAAGGGAAACCGAGUCUUAACUGGGCGUUAAGUUGCAGGGUAUAGACCCGAAACCCGGUGAUCUAGCCAUGGGCAGGUUGAAGGUUGGGUAACACUAACUGGAGGACCGAACCGACUAAUGUUGAAAAAUUAGCGGAUGACUUGUGGCUGGGGUGAAAGGCCAAUCAAACCGGGAGAUAGCUGGUUCUCCCCGAAAGCUAUUUAGGUAGCGCCUCGUGAAUUCAUCUCCGGGGGUAGAGCACUGUUUCGGCAAGGGGGUCAUCCCGACUUACCAACCCGAUGCAAACUGCGAAUACCGGAGAAUGUUAUCACGGGAGACACACGGCGGGUGCUAACGUCCGUCGUGAAGAGGGAAACAACCCAGACCGCCAGCUAAGGUCCCAAAGUCAUGGUUAAGUGUGGGAAACGAUGUGGGAAGGCCCAGACAGCCAGGAUGUUGGCUUAGAAGCAGCCCAUCAUUUAAAGAAAGCGUAAUAGCUCACUGGUCGAGUCGGCCUGCGCGGAAGAUGUAACGGGGCUAAACCAUGCACCGAAGCUGCGGCAGCGACGCUUAUGCGUUGUUGGGUAGGGGAGCGUUCUGUAAGCCUGCGAAGGUGUGCUGUGAGGCAUGCUGGAGGUAUCAGAAGUGCGAAUGCUGACAUAAGUAACGAUAAAGCGGGUGAAAAGCCCGCUCGCCGGAAGACCAAGGGUUCCUGUCCAACGUUAAUCGGGGCAGGGUGAGUCGACCCCUAAGGCGAGGCCGAAAGGCGUAGUCGAUGGGAAACAGGUUAAUAUUCCUGUACUUGGUGUUACUGCGAAGGGGGGACGGAGAAGGCUAUGUUGGCCGGGCGACGGUUGUCCCGGUUUAAGCGUGUAGGCUGGUUUUCCAGGCAAAUCCGGAAAAUCAAGGCUGAGGCGUGAUGACGAGGCACUACGGUGCUGAAGCAACAAAUGCCCUGCUUCCAGGAAAAGCCUCUAAGCAUCAGGUAACAUCAAAUCGUACCCCAAACCGACACAGGUGGUCAGGUAGAGAAUACCAAGGCGCUUGAGAGAACUCGGGUGAAGGAACUAGGCAAAAUGGUGCCGUAACUUCGGGAGAAGGCACGCUGAUAUGUAGGUGAGGUCCCUCGCGGAUGGAGCUGAAAUCAGUCGAAGAUACCAGCUGGCUGCAACUGUUUAUUAAAAACACAGCACUGUGCAAACACGAAAGUGGACGUAUACGGUGUGACGCCUGCCCGGUGCCGGAAGGUUAAUUGAUGGGGUUAGCGCAAGCGAAGCUCUUGAUCGAAGCCCCGGUAAACGGCGGCCGUAACUAUAACGGUCCUAAGGUAGCGAAAUUCCUUGUCGGGUAAGUUCCGACCUGCACGAAUGGCGUAAUGAUGGCCAGGCUGUCUCCACCCCGAGACUCAGUGAAAUUGAACUCGCUGUGAAGAUGCAGUGUACCCGCGGCAAGACGGAAAGACCCCGUGAACCUUUACUAUAGCUUGACACUGAACAUUGAGCCUUGAUGUGUAGGAUAGGUGGGAGGCUUUGAAGUGUGGACGCCAGUCUGCAUGGAGCCGACCUUGAAAUACCACCCUUUAAUGUUUGAUGUUCUAACGUUUGACCCGUAAUCCGGGUUGCGGACAGUGUCUGGUGGGUAGUUUGACUGGGGCGGUCUCCUCCUAAAGAGUAACGGAGGAGCACGAAGGUUGGCUAAUCCUGGUCGGACAUCAGGAGGUUAGUGCAAUGGCAUAAGCCAGCUUGACUGCGAGCGUGACGGCGCGAGCAGGUGCGAAAGCAGGUCAUAGUGAUCCGGUGGUUCUGAAUGGAAGGGCCAUCGCUCAACGGAUAAAAGGUACUCCGGGGAUAACAGGCUGAUACCGCCCAAGAGUUCAUAUCGACGGCGGUGUUUGGCACCUCGAUGUCGGCUCAUCACCAUCCUGGGGCUGAAGUAGGUCCCAAGGGUAUGGCUGUUCGCCAUUUAAAGUGGUACGCGAGCUGGGUUUAGAACGUCGUGAGACAGUUCGGUCCCUAUCUGCCGUGGGGCGCUGGAGAACUGAGGGGGCUGCUCCUAGUACGAGAGGACCGGAGUGGACGCAUCACUGGUGUUCGGGUUGUCAUGCCAAUGGCACUGCCCGGUAGCUAAUGCGGAAGAGAUAAGUGCUGAAAAGCAUCUAAGCACGAAACUUGCCCCGAGAUGAGUUCUCCCUGACCCUUUAAGGGUCCUGAAGGAACGUUGAAGACGACGACGUUGAUAGGCCGGGUGUGUAAGCGCAGCGAUGCGUUGAGCUAACCGGUACUAAUGAACCGUGAGGCUUAACCUU